UCCAGAGCGCAAGCUCACGCGCCUCUCCGCUGAGGGCCUCGCGCGCCCCCUGGUGACAAACUUUGAGGCCCAGGAGCAAUCCCACCUUCACCCCUGGUCCACUUGACUGGAUGAUGAGGGAGCAUGACAUCUUUAGGGCUCAGUAGUGUGCAUACAUAUCCUGAGAAGAAAAUACCUUUAGUCUAGGCCCACUUAAAAGGAUAUAAAAUCCAGAUGGCUGAAUGCCUGCUGACAAAGGAAGGAUAUAUGCACUCCCACUGACAAAUAGAUGGAUCUUCUUCCUUUUGCAGCGCAAUCUCCAGCAUUCCAUGUGGACUUAGGUCACUAAGCAAGAGGCCAUUUCUAACAACCAACUGAAAAAGGGUAGACAUUGUUUAGACAGCUUCAUGGCUCCAUACCCCUUUCCCAGGCAUACCUCUCCAGAAGUCAUCUUGUAUAAUCCCCUGGGCCUCUGACCCUAACUGGCUGAGCUAGGUCAACCCAAGUCUUUCCAGGGAUUUUGGAUCUGGAACUCUCUCCAGGUAGCAAAGGUGUAACAUGAAACUCUGGCACUGUACAGCCUUGUUUCCUGCUAAGUAGACAAAGGAGCAGAUGCAUCUGGUCUUGCACUGAGCAACAGUGGAAGAAAUGCUGAGACAGAGGUGAAGGCCUGCAUUGCUGUCACCCCAGCUGUGACCCCAACUUCCAAGGCUCCUGAAGCCCAGGCACAUCCUGCCUUUCCCUGAGGCUUCUCUGGCCACUUGCCACAGGAUCCUUCCAGUAAAGCCCCCUCUUGUUUAAUGGUUUCUGUCAUUUGCAACCAAGAGUCCUGAUAAAUACAACCCGGCAACACUGGUAUCUGUAGGUUUCAAAGCUACUUCAGCAGCUUCCACCAGAAUUUACUAAAUACACACAUUCACUUAAGAGGUAUUUCUCAAGGCCCUCCUAAGUGCCAUGCCCCAUGCCAAACACUAGAAAGAGAAAGAUAAAUGGUAGGUGACUCUUCCUCAUCCAGAUCCUGUACUUGGGAACAACAGUGAACCCCACAUUUGGGCCUGAGGUCAAGAAUUGGAAGGGCUGCCUGACUUUGUGUAAGUAGCUCCCUCUGGGCCUGUUUGCCCACCAUAAAGUGAAGUGACUGGACCAGUAGUUUUAAAACUGUAAUCAGGGGGAACCCUAGUGUUCCACAGGGGUACUUGAGGCAGGUUGAAUGGCUCUUGUGCCCUCUUCUACUUGCUCACUUGGGCAAGCCUGGUUUUAUGCAGCAGCUUCUGUGUCCAGUUUCUUUGGGUGAAAGCAGCCUUUGCUGAAGGAAACAUUUUACCAGAUGACCCCACGGUCCAAACUUCCAGUGUUUCUAGCUCCAAAGUCCUCAUUCAAAAAUGUUAGCCUUUUGCCUUUGUCUCCUUCUCUGUGCUCGUCAUUAGGGGCACUCACUAAUGAAAGGUGAACUUGCUAAAUCUGAAAGAGCAAAAAGGGCCCAAAGCUGGACAACUGGUCCCUAAAUCAAGGGCCCUUUCAUCAAAAGUUGUUCCCCAAGAGCUCCAAGCAGGUUGUUUAAUCCUCAUAAUAAAGGGUAAAUAAAAGGCAUUAAAUAACCCCACUCGAAGGCUUCAAAGCUGGUGUUUCUUCACUUAGCAAAUAUUAGUCAUGGGCCAAAAAAAUCUUUUAUGUUACUGCAGAAAGCGGUGAGGUGAUUUCUGGGAUUUUCCUAUUUUCUUUGUCAGUUAGUAGAGACUAUCAUCAUCAUUUUAUUAGCAGGGAACCAUGUUUUCAUUUCCUGAGAUAAGUCAGGAACUCCAAAACAUGAGCCCUGGCUUGCUGAUUCAGAUCUGGAGUGGUGCCCCAUAAGUAUAUUUUUUAAUAGCUCAGCAAGUGACCCUGGUACUCAGCCAUGUUUGGAAUGGCAGGGCUUGUAUCCUGCAGGAGUCCUGAAUAUAACUUACUUUCUAGGCUUCUCUGCUCCACUUACAAAAAUAUUGCUCAGUCCUAUAAUUCUGCGAAGUAUAGGACUGGGGGUGUGUGUGUGUGUGUGUGUGUGUGUGUGUGUGCAGGAUCUUGGAGAUCUGGAAAACAGACCCCUGCCCUGCAGGAACUUAUCCAGAGUCCUCGUACAGGCCAUUUAGGAGAAGCCCCAUGUCUCCAACAAGGUCCUAAGCUUGGGAAGGGCAAAAAUGGAGGCCUGUGCUGAGCUCCAGCCCUGCAGGAUGGUGGGAGACUAGGCAGUCAACCAUUAAGAACUGAUGUGUACCAAGCACGAACUCACAGAAGUGUUCGAGUUGGCCCUGUAAGUCGGAAACAACAUUUUAUUUAUUUGUAAUUCCCAUGAAAAGAAACAUCAAUCCUCUGCCAUGUGAUUAAGAAAGACAACAGGGUUUCAUUAUUAUUAUUAUUUUAUUUUCAUAUACAAAAAGAUAAAACUUGAAAUAGCUCUAGAUUUUCCCUCCUAUUCUGUUGGGGUGUGGCUG